AGCUUAGCCUCAUACUGGUAGGACCAUAUUUGCACAUCCCUGCUGCCAGAGACUCUGCUUUUUCAACUCAGGGGCUUUGUAAAAUCUCAGAUUCACUCUACAGUGACUGCUGUGCAUUUCCACUGCAGUGCAUACUCCCCACGACCUGGAGUGAGAUCUGAGGAACACAGAGAAGCCUCCUGCAAGCACCUGUGAGACCUCCCUUCUCCUGUUGAGUGCAUUCUGGCACUUCUGGAAGUUAUGCGUUCCAUCAUGUACAUUAAGUGAUGGUGAAAACAUGUAAAAGGAGUUCCAAGCUCAAGAGCAAUGUCAACCCAGUCCUGGAUGCACUUCAAAGGUGUCUCUUCAUAUCCUGCAAACAUUGCUGGGUUUGCUAAGAGUCCUCUAGCCACCAUUACACCUUCAAAUUGGAAAUUAAAGCAAUGGUUUCAGGAAUCUACUAAGUAACCGCAGGGCAAUCCUGCAAAAAAUCCUCAAAUUUUACCACUGAAGUGUAGGACAACGUAAACACAGAUAUGAGAGUGCAAUACCUCACUGUGUCCUUGAAGCUAACCAUCUUAACUUCAAAUAUCUGGCUUAAGAAUAGUUCAUUUCCCCGCCAUAUUCUUAUGGUGAGAAAUCUGACCUUAUGUGCAUGAAGUAGAGAUUUCCAAGUGGAAUUUCACAGCUCUUUAAAAGAUGUUUA